AGAGUAAAUCAGAUGAUCGCGUGCACCUGCACGAGGAAAGUCCGAGCUCCGUAGAGCAGGAUGCUGGGUAACCCCCAGUGGAGGUGACUCCAAGGAAAGUGCAACAGAAAUAGACCGCCUCUUUUUGAGGUAAGGAUGGAAAGGUGAGGUAAGAGCUCACCAGCGCAUAGGCGACUAUGUGGCUCUGUAAACCCCAUCUGGAGCAAGACCAAGUAGGGUGUAAAAAGGAGGCUGCUCGUCUCCCCCGGUGGUAGGUCGCUUGAGCGGAUCGGUAACGUUUCGCCUAGAUAGAUGAUUGUCUAAUACAGAACUCGGCUUAUAGAUUUACUCAAUUA
rnacentral:RNase_P_RNA from 1 species